CCCAGGUGUCUCGGCUCCAGCCGGUCCUUGCCUCGGGACACGGGGACCGGUUCGCGGAGCGGGGCCGCGCUCCGCUACCCUCGAGGGAGGACCGCGCGCGGAUCUGUGGCGGUGUGAGCAUGAACGAUGCGAGCCGCGAUGCCAGCGAGCGAACGGAGAGCGGAGAGAUGAGAGCGAGAGGUGGAUGUGGAGGCGGCGCGCGCGACCCACGUGACAGCCGGGCGCGUGCAUCGCGCGCGGCACGCAGCCGGCAAACAAGCACACCCGUGAUGGUUUCGUGUCGAGACGACCAAGUGGGAGCCCAAGCCACACUGGCAGAUGCGAAGCCGAGAGCGGGGAUGGAAUCGCGGCGCUGCAGGAAGUCCCGCGCACCUGGGGCCGGGAAUCUUCAAAGCAUUUUACCCGCCCCGACCACCGCAGUGGUCCCAACAGCCCCCCACGUCCCCACCCUCUCCCUCAUCCCCCUUUCCACCUCUCACUCUCUUGCUCCAUUAGUGGUGCCAGCAGUGGAGCAGGCAACCUGCAGGGCUGCGCCUUUACCUUUUCAUAUAUAUAUUUUUAUUUGUUUUACUCCACCGUGGAGCCAGUGUCUCCACUGUGGGGCCAGUGUCUCCACUGUGGAGCCAGUUUCUCCAACGUGGAGCCAGUAUCUCCACUGUGGAGCCAAUUUCUCCACUGUGGAAACCAGUGUCUCCAACGUGGAGCCAGUAUCUCCACUGUGGGGCCAGUUUCUCCAUUGUGGAGCCAGUUUCUCCACGGUAGAAAUCAGUGUCUCCACCGUGGAGCCAGUAUCUCCACUGUAGAGUCAGUUUCUCCACUGUGGAAACCAGUGUCUCCAACGUGGAGCCAGUAUCUCCACUGUGGGGCCAGUUUCUCCAACAUGGAGCCAGUGUCUCCACCGUGGAACUAGUGUCUCCACGGUGGAGCCAGUCUGUCCACCGUGGAACCAGUGUCUCCACGGUGGAGCCAGUGUCUCCACCGUGGAAACCAGUGUCCCCACCAUGGAGCCAGUUUCUCCUCCGUGGAGCCAGUUUAUUUACCAUGGAAACCAGUCCCUCCAGCAUGGAGCCAGUGUCUCCACCGUGGAGCCAGGGCGUGCGGCGGGCACAGCUGCACAGGGCAGAACGUUCGCUCGGCAUGUGAUCGAGGCAGACAAAUUAUUAUUUUUUUGGUGGCGAUGUCGUCGACGAGAUAAACGGUUCAUUCCACAGGAUAGGCGUGGGGGGGGGGAGGGGGGGGAUGCGCAGCGUAACAUUUCUCAGCGUCGCGCGGAGGGCGUCACUCAGGAUGGGAAGUGGCGAUGGAGGGGCGCCUGUCAAAGACAACAGGCGAUGCCACAGAGGUUAUUUCCUGCUGGCCGACUUUAAGAAGAAACUCAAUCAGGGAUGAGGCAAG